rnacentral:lncRNA from 1 species
AUGCCAGCAAAUGUGGAAAACUCAGCAGUGGCCACAGGACUGGAAAAGGUCAGUUUUCAUUCCAAUCCCAAAGAAAGGCAAUGCCAAAGAAUGCUCAAACUACCGCACAAUGCACUCAUCUCACACGCUAGUAAAGUAAUGCUCAAAAUUUUCCAGGCCAGGCUUCAGCAAUAUGUGAACUGUGAACUUCCAGAUGUUCAAGCUGGUUUUAGAAAAGGCAGAGGAACCAGGGAUCAAACUGCCAACAUCUGCUGGAUCAUUGAAAAGGCAAGAGAGCUCCAGAAAAAUAUUCACUUCUGCUUUAUUGACUAUGCCAAAGCCUUUGACUGUGUGGAUCACAAUAAACUGUGGAAAAUUCUGAAAGAGAUGGGAAUACCAGAGCACCUGACCUGCCUCUUGAGAAACCUAUAUGCAGGUCUGGAAGCAACAGUUAGAACUGAACAUGGAACAACGGACUGGUUCCAAAUAGGAAAAGGAGUACAUCAAGGCUGUAUAUUGUCACCCUGCUUAUUUAACUUCUAUGCAGAGUACAUCAUGAGAAACGCUGGGCUGGAAGAAGCACAAACUGGAAUCAAGAUUGUUGGGAGAAAUAUCAAUAAGCUCAGAUAUGCAGAUGACACCACCCUUAUGGCAGAAAGUGAAGAGGAUCUAAAAAGCCUCUUGAUGAAAGUGAAAGAGGAGAGUGGAAAAGUUGGCUUAAAGCUCAACAUUCAGAAAACGAAGAUCAUGGCAUCUGGUCCCAUCACUUCAUGGAAAAUAGAUGGGGAAACAGUGGAAACAGUGUCAGACUUUAUUUUUCUGGGCUCCAGAAUCAUUGCAGAUGGUGACUGGAGCCAUGAAAUUAAAAGACGCUUACUCCUUGGAAGAAAAGUUAUGACCAAUCUAGAUAGCAUAUUCAAAGGCAGAGACAUUACUUUGCCAAUAAAGGUCCAUCUAGUCAAGGCUAUGGUUUUUCCUGUGGUCAUGUAUGGAUGUGAGAGUUGGACUGUGAAGAAAGCUAAAUGCCAAAGAAUUGAUGCUUUUGAACUGUGGUGUUGGAGAAGACUCUUUUGA